GUUGCAGACAUCCAUAAUUUUGUUUUUGAGUGGAUGCCUUCCCUAGGUGCUUAUGUGGGCUCUCUCCACCAGGUGCAUUUCAUUCCCACAGGGGCCAGCAUGAUAUCUAACCUCUGUCAUCCAACAUCCCUGAUGAGUAGUUCAAGUUUCCUUCAUUAACAUGUCUCUUAGUCUUUGUCAGUCAUCACCAUCCUUCCACUGCUAGCAACUGCAAAAGUUAAAACACCAUCAAUCUUCUCUAUUCUUGGGUCUUUUACUUUCAUAUGUUGUAAUAUCACUUGGGCUGCCACUACAUAAGGAUGCAUACCUCUAGAAAGGCACCCCAUGUCUUGUCUUGGGUUCACCAAAGAAAAGUUUGUUUAGGAGGGACAGUACCAGGCAUUUGCAAAAGGUUUCACCCAGACAGGAUAACUUCCAGCAAGUGUUUACUCAGAAAAAUAACUUUAAAAGGUUAUGCACAUUAAACCACUGACCUUUUGCAUUACUAGCAUAAACAAAAAAAGGAAUUGAGUUUCUUUCUCAAACUAUAACAACUUUUAAGUCAAAAUGUUGGUGAUGACUAUGUUCUGUUGCCAUAGAUAGGAUUGCAACCUCACAGAUUUGGCUUUAUUACUAAAACUUGCAAAAACAUGUUAUAAGCAGUCAUUUAUAUAUCCCCACACAUGGAUGAGUCAGUGUGCUCUUGUCAUGUGAGUACAACACAGGAACAAGGGUCCCCUGAGCUGCUAAACUAGCUUACUGCCUGACCUCAGGCAAGCAUACGUAAUCACUUGAUUACAAGCACUCAUAAACCUCGAUUAUUCUUCUGUAGAUCCACCACUAAAACAUACAUGAUCCUGUCUGUGAAGAUCUCCUUUCUUUAUUUUGGGAAGGUUUGUUAAAAGGCAGGCUUGGGGAUUGUUGAUGAUGAUGCCAGAUGAAUCAUCAGCCAUUGUUUCUGAGAACAGUUUGCAAACAGCACUGAGGACAGUCCAGCUCAGGCUCUUCCUGUUCCCUAGAGGUAAAGUCAGGCAAGAACCUAUGCUGGGAACACAAUGUAUUCUGGGUUCCUGUGAAACAACUGCCCCUACCCGCAGAGUGCUUCGUGGGUGAAGAGGUUGUUUGUAAGACAGCUGGAGACCAGACAGCUAUGAAGCUUUGAAGUGCAUCGGAAGCUGAGCAGGAAGCUCACGGAACACUAGUGUGAGGUGCUAUUUCAUAUUUGCUCUAUUAACCUUCCUUGCCUGUAAGGCAGAUUUAUGACUAAAUAAAGAUGCAAAAAGACACUUUUUUUGCCACUGCUGUCUUAAGAAGCAGUCUGUCCCUGCAGGACACAAGCACUGCUUCUCAGCUUGAUGGAGUAUGGCAGACCUCAACAGAGAAUGAAACCUUAAUCCCUGCUUCUUAUAACUGUUAUCACUCCUCUCCUUCUGAAACAACUCAUCACUGUGCUUAUUUCUCUCAGACACCAAAAAUACAGGGUAAACCACUUUGCAUCUCUUUUGAAAGACAAGAGGUUAUCUGUAGCAAACGUUCAGUGGUGAAGUCAACAGUCUCUUGCUAUUUCCCUGCAGAACUUCUUGAAGGAAGGAAGAAAUGCUAGAUCUUUCAGAUCUAGAGGCAUUGAGAGAGCUUUUGCUCUCUUGAAGGAAAACUGGAUCCAUUUGAUAUGCGAGGAAGAAUUAGGCAGUGAUAAAGAUAACGCAUGGAAGAACUGAGAUAGGUUUCAUUUAAAGCUUCUUUCAGUUACCUGCUCUGCCAUACCUUCCUAUAUUAUUUGGGCACAGCCCUACAAUGUACCUCAGUUCUCCAUCAGCAAAAGAAAAUACAAGUCCUCCCAUAAUCUAAGGAGUAGUCAGGGUCAGUAAUGGGAAAUUAAACAUAUCAUCCAUAAUUUGUCAAGGUGGAAUGAGUAAAGCCAACAGCAUUAAAGCAUUCACUGUUACUAGACCUUGUAUGUGGCUAAAGUCAACAGUAUCGGUAUAGAUGUUCAUAUUCUGUAAUGUUUAUAGAAAUCAGUGCCAUCAAAACCAUAUCCAUGCAUAGCUUCAUGUUUCUUCCCAGUUUCAACCACAGUAGCGUGAAGAUUAGGACGCGGGCAGCUAGUAAGUUUGUUUACUGCGACUCUCUUGAUAACUGUGCAAGGACACAGGAAAUCUGAGGUGGAGCUACUCCUGCUCAGGCCACUUUCUCUGAUCUCAUUUUAUAAAAGAACUACAUGAACUUUCUGCAUCUCAGAUAGUGUAUUUAACAGUCUUCACUUGGUUGUGUAGUUCUUCAUGUGUUUAUAUCUGAACUACCUGUUUAAGAUUCCACAGAACUCAGUCCUGCCAUAUCUAGGAACUUAAAUGCAAGACCCUAAACUCCAGAACAAGCAGACUGGAUUGAUAUUUUAAUUACUCAUUCUUUUUUCUUGGACUAAACAAGACCAUUUUAAAUGCAGUUACUCUUUGCAGCACAGCUGGAAAAGGGUACAUGGUGACAGGCAAGCAAAAGGCUGCUGCUCCAGUCCUGCUCCCAGGAGGUUCAUGGGAGAAAUCAUCCCAAAGGAUUCCACAUAACCUGUGUGCCUGCCUUGCUGCUUCCCACUGCUUUCACUGCCAAAAUCAAAGAAUGAAGCUUUUUGUUUGAGGGCUAGUUAGUGUGUCCAUGAGCUUAUCCCUGGAGAAUUGUGCAGCUGCAGAGUGAUAUGGCUUGAGAUGGGGAGGAGAUAGUUUAGCUUAGCCAUAUCUUUGCCUCCCUGGCCCUGGGCAAAAUUUAUUAGAGCCAAACAAGAAUUUGUCCCUCUUAUAAAACUGCACUUUCUCCUUUGCCAAAAGAGAAAAAUCUCCCAUGUCUCAGUAACAAUUCCCUCACUUAAAAUGUCUUGAGAUGUUGAUUGACUGAAUAUCUAUUUCUAUUUUAUUGUUUUUAUUAGGAUCAGUAAAGUAUUUUCUUAAAGAAAUAAUGUCUCCAAUUAAAAAUGGAAUUUUACAAGCAAGCCACAGUGAUACCUGGACGGAUUAUCCAUGGUGUGGAGUCUCCAGGCCCUGCCUUCCUCCGUCACUCCCGGCUGCAGCACUACGUCCGAAUGGAACAACGUUCAUCCCACUGGCACCCAGCCCCAUUCUGCCUGCUUAAAGCUGCCUCUGUUCUCUACAGCAAUCUAUUUAUCCGUCUUCAAAAGGUUUAAAAAAGGUGCUGAUAUAACAGCCCAGAAGACCCGAUGCCUCUAGCUUAUCUGAAGUGGGACUGAGUACAGGUAGUGAGAAUGCAAACUACCCACACAGAGCAGCUCACCGUGACAAUUUGGAGGGGAGCCCUCGGAGCAGGAAAAAGAAGACAGUCUCACUGCCCACUCAGUCCACAAGUCAGCACUACAAAUGGAAGUCAUUCCAUUCAAGAGAUCCCAGACUAAGGCAGUAUUCAAGUGAAUUGAGGAAGAAAAAGGCUUUAUAACUGGAUACCUCUGGAUAAGGAAGGAAAAAACAGAGUAUCUUAAGAAAUUGCAAGCUAUACACAGAUUCUGGGUAUAACUCUGGCUGUCUGACAGUCAAACCACUAUGGUUCAAAAAGACAGAAGUGCACGAGAACUGGGACUGCUGAUGCCUCUGCGAAACCUGUUCUGUAGACUUCAAAGCUGUCAGUCUGGCACCUUCUGAGAGACUGCAUUCACUGUAUGACAGCAAAGUGAAAUAAUUGACUUGUGGGUGUGGGUGUGUAAUAGUGACAACUUUGAGGACUGAAAAAUUCCCCACAUCCCUUGGCUAAUGAACCCCAAAUUUCUAUGCAAAACAAAAAUAAUCUCUGUGUUUCAAUAAACUACAGUGAACAAACCUGAUGCUAAAACACACCUGGCUGAGUCAGACUUAAUUUUGGAACAAAACAAAACACCCUACCCACCCUAAAAGAUAAGGUAGUUCCUCUUAAGAAAAACAGGAAAGCUGAUUUAUGAAUAAGAACAAUCAGAAGACUUCAUCACAAAUGAAAUCAAUCAGCACAAAUACUCUGAUCAUUGCACAAGAGGAAGAAAAAGGACUUAAAUGUAUUGAACAUGAGAACAGAACAACUUCAUCUCCUUGAAGAUUCUUUAAAUCACCCCCCAAACUCCUGAGAGAUGCUGGGAUUAGGAUUGGAAGUCUUCCACUCAUGUGACUCUCCAGCUGAAGGAUAUGUAUAGAAGGGUCUCAUAUGGCUCUCCAUAAAUUAUGGUGGUAAUGUAUUCCUAAAUUCCUUUAGAAACGUAUUUCUAAAGCACCAUAGACUACAAUUUUAGUAACAUCUCUGUAGGACUUUCUAAUCAGUUUUCUAACCAAUUUAGGGUAAACUCAGAGUUCUAGGAAAGUCCUCUAGCCCCAGCAUUCUCAUCUGAGAAGGGGCCAUUUCCUUUUUUCCUGCUAAGCUAUUGACACUUUUCUGCACCAUGUUCCUCUGCAGAGCUCCUCCUAAUCCAGUGUGUUUCAGGAGAACUAAAUCAGUGCGUGCUCCUGUCAUUCUUGUCCCAUGUUUGUAUGUGAACUUUAAUUGCUGAUGAUAGCUCUACACAGCUCAAGUUUUCCAUCUCCCUCUUUCAUAUCCUGAGGCAUUUUAAAGUUCCACCCUCCAUGGAUAAUUUUCUGUGCAGGAAUGGAGGUAGAAAUGUUGAAAUACCAUAAUAAAGAUUCUUCUUCUUUUAUUUCCAGUUCAGUCAGAAACAGAAAUUGCCAAGAAUUGUAUUUUCUUGAACUUGAAUCCCAUUCUCCAAUCCCCAACCCUUUCUUCCCAAACCAAAAAAAUCAGAAAGUUCAGGCCUUGUUUGUAUUGAGAUCAGAGGAUGCCAAUCUAUAUCAGAAGAUAACCAGCCAGUAGAAUAAGUUGGUCACAGUACCUCCUUAUGGAAGGUCUAACAUAAAAAUUGCUUUGCUUCAGGAGUGAAUGGAAUGUUCCACUUGCUGGGCUGUCUGGAACACACAAAAAAUUAAAAGCUUUACAAUAGCAGCAGUUUGCCUUUUUGAGAGAACAGCUCCUUUUCAAGAGGAGUAACUUAGGUGAGUAAAUUUAGAAACUGGAUGCUCCGAGUAUUAAUCUAAAUCCAGGAAGUGUGGGUUCUGAAGUGGAAGUCAUUAGCAGUCUGUUAUUUUAUGUUCAUCCUGUUCAGAAUUUGAUAUUGAAGUGAUACUAUCUCCAUCUUUUUCUUCAGUUUAACAUACCAUUAAAAAUAAUUAACUAAAUUUGCUGGCUUAAAAACAUACAAACAGUGUGGUCUAUUAUCAGUUUGACCUGGUCAAUACUAUAAAUGCAAGCAACAAACUUUCCAGAAUACCAUUCCCAUUCUGAGGUCAGUAUCAGCUGCCCAUCUCCUAGACUUCUUAGUCUGUAAACCAGAUCUUUAACCCUGUUACACAUUUAAUAUCUCACAAACUACCACCCUAGCAACUUUACACACCCCUUUGUCCAUUUCACAACACACACACACACACACACCAGUCUUGCCAGGCAGGAAUGUGGUGGAAUGACUGUCACAGUUGAUAGCCAUGAGCAUUUCUCAUUUUCAGCUGCAUCUCAGCUAAAUACAAUUCAAACUUUUUUUUUGGUUGGUUGGUUUUGUGGGUUGCAUUUGUUUGCCUGUUUCUUUGAAUGGGAUUCAAAUUCCCAGCCUAGCUUUGUGUCUUUUUUGUCUGAUACUCUAGCAUUGUCAUUUUCAUUCCAUUUAUAAAUUGUGAGUUUGCAGAUGAAAUAUUUGUAUUUGCAUCCUUGGGAACAAAUAGCUAGACUUUCUCAUCUGCGGCAGUAAGGAGUUCAUAGGUGCUUCACUUUCCUAAUGAAGGACAAGUUACAACUUAUAUCAAAAGAUAAAAGUCCAAGGCUUCAUUUUUCACUUGAGCAUUUUCAGUAUUCAUGACAGAAACUAUGGAUCUUUGAAUUAAACCAUUUUACAGUGGUCCAAAGCUCAUUGUAAACUACUUUUAUGUUUCCUUUCAGGCCAUUUAAAGGCUGUUUCUUUAAUUAACUCAUUCAGUUUCCCACAUUUUUUAUUAAAAACUGUUAAACGUACAUGGGACAUAUUUGCACAACAAUGUUCCAAGUCUGCCCUAGCCCCAGGGCUCUAGCUUUUUCCUAAGUUGCUCAGAACAUCUGCUCAUGGUCUCUCCUCUGUACCCCCACCCAACCACCCUCAUUUUCCUUUAGUUGGAAGAACUGCCUACACAGAACAUUUUCUUUAUUGCAUUAUAAACAGAUAAUUCUAUCAUCCUGAAACAAUCUAGAUGAUAAUGCAAGAAGCAUUCACAGUGUUUCCCAUAGUGAGAUGUCAAAUAUAUACAAAGUUGUGUUUUUUGUUUUUGUUUUUUUUUUUUUCCUUAGAGUACUUUCCAGACCUCUGGUGACAUGAAAUUGAGGAAAAUAUUUGAAAUCAGUCAUUGCUCUAAAAAUAUUCCUUUCUUUUCAAUAAUAUUUCAUUUUUACAUGGAACACUCAUCACGUUUCUCAGCACUCCUCACAUUUCUGAACUGUAUUUCCAUGGAUAAUAUGGUGCUACAGGGGAUACUAACUGAAAAAUAUGAACAACAGAAUUAUGUACUGUGAGAUAUAAGCAUAGUUUGUCUUCUACUCUCCUGGCACAUGUUUCAAGCUCAUUCAGACUGUAGCUUUAUUCACACCUUUGCUUUGAGCCAGUGAAAUUUAACUUCUUCAUUCUGAAUUUGAGGUAUUUUUAAAUUGAUUUUAACCCCAUUACCCUAUUUUACACAGAAAUUAUUUAGAACCAGGAAGCCUUGUAGAACUGCAGUUCUUUCAGUGUUCAAUUUCUACAUGGUCAGAACUGUGUGACAAUCUGCACUAUCCAGCAACCUGUUCCAUCUAUUUGCUCCCACAGUUCCCACAUUAGGAUCAUGAUUCAUGCCCUUUAUGGUCUAUGCAUUAAAAUAGUAAAUAUGGUGUUUAGGUUAUAUAAUAAACUGUACUAAGCGUUGUGUUACUAGAUAUUAUUGACUAUCCCUGCCUUGAAGGGGUUCAAUUUAAAUAGAAAAGGCUAAAGGAAAGAAUUGGAGAAAGGGGUGGAAUCCCAUAGGAACUCAGCAAUUUGCAUAGUCAUAUUUUAGGUCAGAGGUUGGACUUGAUGAUCUUGAGGUCUCUUCCAACCUAGAAAUUCUGUGAUUUUGUGAUAGCAGCAAGGACUUGAAUUUGGGGUUCUAUGGUUAUUUUAUCUCCAUCAACCUCUCUACCCAUCUUAUUAAGUCUAAGAAUCAUUUAAACCAGAAACAAGUAGAAAAAUAAUGUUUGAUCAUUGUGUCUUUAUUCAAUUGAUGCUGCCACAAUCAGUGUUGGUCAAAGAUAGGGGAAAAAAUAAAGAUCUUAAUGAUUUAAAAUUAAAGUAGCCCAGAAAAUCAACCGUAUAAAGUAGGAUAAUCUGAUGAGCAUAUCUGAGAAACAAACAAAAAAAAAAAAAGCCCAAAACUUUGUCUUAAAGAGAAGUUUAGCAUGGGUACAGGGUUUAGGUGUUGGGGUUUUUUGUUGUUGGUUUUUCACUUCACCAUGUCCUUUGCUCUGAAUAGGUAUGGUUUGCUGUUUAAAGUUGCAUAAAUACCUGUUGUUUGCUCAGUUAUGCUACCUUCCUAACCUUAAGAAGCAAAAAGUUUCCAAGCAGCUAGCCUCCUCUUGGGAAAGGUAGAGUCAUUAUACAUGAUGAAAGCUGCUUGUUCAGACGUUCAGUAUGACAGGCCAUUUCAAUAACAGCAGUGAGCACGUACCCAAGAACAUUAGUCUUCAUUUUCUCCUAACAAAAUUUUAACAGGCAUAUGAAAGGAAACAGAUUCAGAAAGAUAAAUAUAAUUCCCUUUAUAUCAUAAGAAUCCUGUUGGAGGUGGAAAUAAGUGAGUUUAGACAGAAUAGUAGAUAAAGAGUCAAAAAAUCUGUCCCCAUUCAUCAAGCAACUUGCUAUGUGCUUUUAAAUAAGCCACUGAAAACCUCUGCCAAGGCUUCCAUAUACAUAUAUACAUGUAAGAUACAUAUAUAUAUUUACCUAAAGAGUUAUAGCAAACACAGGUUUUCAUGAAACUUAAGUGAGCUUUUUAAAUUUUUUUUUUUUUUUUUUUUUAUUUUCAGAGCAAAGAUGCUUUAUAGUAUAAGUAAAAUAUUACUAACAACAGUAAUAAGAAUAACACAGCCAAGAUGUAAAUGCCAUUCACGUGUGAGGUUUGAUUAUAGGAAUAUCUUGAGCUAUUUCUUGUGAUUUAUCUAGGCAAUAGCCUAUUAUUCCCUUAUACUCAAAAUACCAAGGAACCUAUCAAGAUUCUAUGUGAUUUUCUUUACCAAGUUUUAUUACAAGUGAAUAAAAGGCCCUCAUCUUCACAGCAUACAGGUAGGACUAACAUUGUUAAUUCAAGGGAAAAAAAAAAAAAAAGACUAUAUCCAAUCUGUUGCAAUGUAUUUAAAAAAAAAACAAAAACAAAAAACUCUGAGAGCUGAAGUAUUGUACUGCCCAGUAUGCCACAAAAAAUAAUGAAAGAAAUUCCUUCUGGUACAACCAAACCAAAAGAUGACUAAGAGUUAGGCAAGUAUUAUGGUAGACUACAUAACGUUGUGCAGCAUUUACUUUAGGGAUAUACAAUUUCCACUGCCACUAUCAUCAUCUGAUCCUGCUUUUAUUAUUAAUUCAAAUUAUUUGCUUAUAUAAAACUCUUUUAAAUCAAAACAUCAAGAGAGUGUAUGUAUAUACAAUUAUAAAAAGAUAGGUCUAUAGACACAUUUAGAGUUACACUUUUAUAUUUACUAAUAUACCUAUACUAGAGGAAAUUUGGCAGAGCGUGUGUUUUCAGAAACUAGCAGAGCUCUAAUUUCACAGAAAAGAAGUUAAAGUUGCACCUACUCUAAACAAAAUCAGAUAAUUUUUCUACAACUCCCUCAAAAUACCUUCUGAAAUACCGAAGUAUACACACACCUGAUUUUAAGCAAGGAUUCUUCACUCCAGCAUAAAAGUUUCAAAAACAUUGCUUUUCAAGUACGACUGAUAUCUUGCACUUGUACAUAGAUCAAUUUACUAUAACAGUGAUGUGAAGUGCUCCAUCCUUGAAACGCAUAUGCACAGGGGUUAUGGAAGUAUCUGGCAAGAAGGACCUUCCACUUUUGACUGUCAACUUGCUUACAUGUAUAUAUCUACGAUGACUGACACCAGCAUAGGUUUGGUGUGAGGUUAUCAUUUUCCAAGGGCGUAUCAGUUUACAUGCAUGGUGUGUAACAUUUAUGAGUGUAAAGAGAACAAAUCAUUUUUAUGUGCCCAUGCUUGCAAACAACAGGAUCAUGAUCCAGUUCAGCAUGGCAACUCAAUUGAUUCAGUUGGUACUCAUACAAUAUCAUCACUGUUGUAUUCAUCAGCAGUAUUAAUUUACCGUGGCUUAAUAAAAUAAAUAAAUAAAUAAAUAAAAAAGUCAAAGCAUUUUCUAAUGUCUAUUUUCCUUGAGAACUGAGGAGCUUAGCUGCUAAGUCAUAGCUAGUUUUAUGGGAUACGUAAAAGAUAAUAAUGAGGUGAAUAAUAACAACAGCUCUUAGCACUUACGCAGCUCUGUGUACUUUCAAUGUGCUGUACAAAUACUAAAUAAUUCAUUUUAAUUAAAAAGGCCUUGAAAAGAUUAAAGGACCCUUGAAAUAAG